UGGGUAACCUACCGAACUGUGGGGGAUAGCCGGCCUAACGGCCGAGUAAUACCGCAUACGCUCUCAGGGAGGCAUUUCUUUGAGAGGAAACCUACGGGACAGAUCGAGGGGCUCGCGGCCUAUCAGCUAGUUGGCGAGGUAACGGCUCACCAAGGCAACGACGGGUAGCUGGUCUGAGAGGAUGGCCAGCCACAUUGGGACUGAGACACGGCCCAGACUCCGUACGGGAGCAGNAGGUAGGG
rnacentral:rRNA from 1 species